UACAGAGGUCUCAAGCGUUGUUCGGAUUCAUUGGGCGUAAAGGGUGUGUAGGUGGCGCCGUAAGUCGGGUGUGAAAUUUCGGAGCUUAACUCCGAAACUGCAUUCGAUACUGCGGUGCUUGAGGACUGGAGAGGAGACUGGAAUUCAUGGUGUAGCAGUGAAAUGCGUAGAGAUCAUGAGGAAGACCAGUGGCGAAGGCGGGUCUCUGGGCCUUACCUGACGCUGAGGCGCGAAAGCUAGGGGAGCGAACAGG
rnacentral:rRNA from 1 species